AUUGAAGGAAAAAGGAUCACCUUCCAAUCAGCUGGUCUUUAAAUAACUGGUGGAACAAUUUAGGCUGUGAGAAUUCUGCUUCCCUGCACAAGUAUUCAGCCUCUCUGGUCCUAUGUCUCCACCAAAUAAGGGGGAAACUGCCUGUGCAGGCCCAGCUAUGCUGUUCUUUCUCCCUAAGACUGCAAAAAUGGUGUUAGAAAAAUGGAUUAACUGGGCUUCUAAUGAGUUGCAUCAAGUAAAUGGAGGCCUCAUUGAACAGACAAGUACUGUACUGCCUGUGGGAUCACUAAGGGAUGGGACAAAGGAAACGUCUUUUGCUGAACCAGUGCAGAAAUGUUCUUAAUAUUUUUCCAUCAGAAAAUGGAGGAAUAAUGCAGUGGCAAAUUUUUAGGGGAUCCAAAUGCACUGUUCUGAUUCUUAAACCCUGAGGAUGAUCUUUAAUACAGGCCAUGAAGAAACAGAUCAUGCACGUGUUUGAGCAUCCCAACUGGUGCUUACUAUUGGGUAACAGAUUUUGGCAGAUGUUGAUGAAACUGUUUGUGAAUUGCUGAUAUGAAGCUUUUCUGAAAACAAAUAUUCCAUUAUUAUUCUGUUGUUUAAACACGAAUUUUAUUUGGACAGCCUCUCUUUUUGUCUAUUCUAAGUUCUAGAUUAGACCCUUAACUUGUUUUCUAACCCUGUAGCUUUAGAAAAUGGCAUAUUUCUCCCUUAUUUGGAAUAACCCUUUGUAUAUCAUCCCUUUCCUAGCCUUAUCUCCCUUUUUUUUUCUUUUAACUUUCCCACACAGAUCUUGCCAAUUAUUCUAGAUAUGACCUUUCAUUAGAAGCUUUAGCAGUGCUGAAUGAAAAGGUAUAAUUCCUUGCCUUUUGUGGUUUACACAAAACUUAUUCUAAAGAUUGCCUCUUAAAAUGUCAUUUGCCUUAUUUUCAGUAACACAUAUUUUUGUGAUGUGUAAAUUCCACCGUGUCAGGAUUUUUUCUGCACUGCAGUUUUCGAGAUAGCUGUUGCACAACAUACAUUUUUACAUAAGACUUUUCCUACCUAGAUUGAUUCUUUACUCUUGUAGUUAUGUAACAUUGUAUUUAAAUUUCUUCAAUUUAUAAGCAUAAUUUGAAUUCCUAUCCCACUUCCAAAGUCUUUGUUUUCUGAUUUGGUGUCAUGCCCAGUUAUAACAUACGGAUUUUCCUAUUCCAUUGUUUAUAGUAUUGUCAUAAAUAGUAAUUGGAUAAUAAAUAUCAAAUAGGUGAGACCAAUGUGUGAGCUAAAAUGCUUUCUUUACUUUAAGACUAAACUCAAUAACUAAACUCAUUUUUUCAAGGUUUUUUUGUUUUUGAUAUUUCUCUUAUUCUAUGCUUACAAGACUACUUGAAUUACUAUCAAACUAGCAUUAGUUUGAUAACAAACAUAAGCAUUACUAAAGUUAAAAGAGAUUGCAUCUACUUUUUCCUAUAUCUUCUAGGAAAUUUGUCCUAUUAUAAGGUAACAAGACCAUUUUGAAUAAAACCUGGCAAUGACUAGUAAAUGUUGACAGUUCAUUAUUACUUGAUUAUUCUUGGGGUUCUUGCA